GACUUCUCAUUAAGCUUCUUUCUCUCUAUUGGUGGCAGCCUAUGGAUUCAUAUGAGAAGAGAGAAUUCACAUAACUAGCCUUACUUUUGCCCUCUGUCUUUACAGAGGUAUAUUUGGCUGUUUUGUGAGAUAUUC
rnacentral:snoRNA from 1 species